rnacentral:sRNA from 1 species
GCACCAGGGAGGAUAACGUUGCUUCAGCAACGGCCCGCAGGGCGAGGCGCAGCCGAGUAAUCCUCCCGGAUGCACCA